rnacentral:rRNA from 1 species
UACGAAGGGUGCAAGCGUUACCCGGAAUUACUGGGCGUAAAGCGCACGUAGGCGGAUCAGUCAGUUAGGGGUGAAAGCCCAGGGCUCAACCCUGGAACUGCCUUUGAUACUGCUGGUCUGGAGGUCGAGAGAGGUGAGUGGAAUUCCGAGUGUAGAGGUGAAAUUCGUAGAUAUUCGGAGGAACACCAGUGGCGAAGGCGGCUCACUGGCUCGAUACUGACGCUGAGGUGCGAAAGCGUGGGGAGCAAACAGG